rnacentral:rRNA from 1 species
AACGAACGCUGGCGGCAGGCUUAACACAUGCAAGUCGAACGCACCUUUCGGGGUGAGUGGCAGACGGGUGAGUAACGCGUAGGAAUCUACCCUUCUCUACGGGAUAGCUCCGGGAAACUGGAAUUAAUACCGUAUACGUCCUGAGGGAGAAAGAUUUAUCGGGGAAGGAUGAGCCCGCGUUGGAUUAGCUAGUUGGUGGGGUAAAGGCCUACCAAGGCGACGAUCCAUAGCUGGUCUAAGAGGAUGAUCAGCCACAUUGGGACUGAGACACGGCCCAAACUCCUACGGGAGGCAGCAGUGGGGAAUAUUGGACAAUGGGCGCAAGCCUGAUCCAGCCAUGCCGCGUGAGUGAUGAAGGCCCUAGGGUUGUAAAGCUCUUUCAGUGGGGACGAUAAUGACGGUACCCACAGAAGAAGCCCCGGCUAACUUCGUG